AAUUUUUGACAAUGGGGGCAACCCUGAUCCAGCCAUCCCUCGUGUGCGAUGAAGGCCUUCGGGUUGUAAAGCACUUUUGGCAGGCACGAAAAGCCACGGUUUAAUACCCCGAUGGCGCUGACGGUACCUGCAGAAUAAGCACCGGCUAACUACGUGCCUGCAGCCGCGGUAAUACGUAGGGUGCACGCGUUAAUCGGAAUUACUGGGCGUAAAGGGGGCGUCGGCGGUUUGGCAAGAAAGGUGUGGAAUCCAAAGGGUCAAACUUGGAACUGGACUUUUAACUGCUAGGCUAGAGUAUGUCAGAGGGGGGUAGAAUUCCGCGUGGAGCAGUGAAAUGCGUAGAGAUGCGGAGGAAUACCGAUGGCGAAGGCAGACCCAUGGGAUAAUACUGACGCCCAUGCACGAAAGCGUGGGGAGCAAACA
rnacentral:rRNA from 1 species